rnacentral:rRNA from 1 species
CAGUAGCCACGGUAAUACGAGGGGGGCAAGCGUUAAUCGGAAUUACUGGGCGUAAAGCGUGCGCAGGCGGUGAUGUAAGACAGAUGUGAAAUCCCCGGGCUCAACCUGGGACCUGCAUUUGUGACUGCAUCGCUAGAGUACGGUAGAGGGGGAUGGAAUUCCGCGUGUAGCAGUGAAAUGCGUAGAUAUGCGGAGGAACACCGAUGGCGAAGGCAAUCCCCUGGACCUGUACUGACGCUCAUGCACGAAAGCGUGGGGAGCAAACAGGAUUAGAUACCCGCGUAGUCCCUGUCUCUUAUAC